rnacentral:rRNA from 1 species
GAUGAACGCUGGCGGCGUGCUUAACACAUGCAAGUCGAACGAAGCACCUUGAUUUGAUUCUUCGGAUGAAGAUCCUGGUGACUGAGUGGCGAACGGGUGAGUAAUACGUGAGUAACCUGCCCCCUUCUUUGGGAUAAGCCUUGGAAACGGGGUCUAAUACUGGAUAUUCCUGGUCUGCCGCAUGGUGGGUUGGGGAAAGUUUUUUCGGUGGGGGAUGGGCUCGCGGCCUAUCAGCUUGUUGGUGGGGUGAUGGCCUACCAAGGCGUCGACGGGUAGCCGGCCUGAGAGGGUGACCGGCCACACUGGGACUGAGAUACGGCCCAGACUCCUACGGGAGGCAGCAGUGGGGGAUAUUGCACAAUGGGCGCAAGCCUGAUGCAGCGACGCCGCGUGAGGGAUGACGGCUUUCGGGUUGUAAACCUCUUUCGCUACCGAACAAGGCUUCAUAUUUGUGGGGUUGAGGGUAGGUGGAUAAGAAGCGCCGGCUAACUACGUGCCAGCAGCCGCCGUAAGAC